rnacentral:lncRNA from 1 species
UCGUUGUAGACUAGCAUUCCAAUUAAACCCUUGAUAAUCGAUUCCGAGGCAUACAUCUCGUUCUUAUCGAGCGUUCAUUGUCCAUCAAACAAAUUUUAUAAAUACCUUGAAUGAAAAAGGAACAUUGGAGUCUAUCAUUCCAAUGAAACCCCGAAUAAUUGGUCACGAGGAUCACGUCUCUUUCUCACCAAGCAUUCUUCAUUCGCCUAAAAAACAUAUAACCAAUAAAAC